rnacentral:rRNA from 1 species
GACGAACGCUGGCGGCGUGCCUAAUACAUGCAAGUAGAACGCUGAAGCGAGGAGCUUGCUCUUCUUGGAUGAGUUGCGAACGGGUGAGUAACGCGUAGGUAACCUGCCUUGUAGCGGGGGAUAACUAUUGGAAACGAUAGCUAAUACCGCAUAACAAUGGAUGACACAUGUCAUUUAUUUGAAAGGGGCAAUUUCUCCACUACAUGAUGGACCUGCGUUGUAUUAGCUAGUAGGUGAGGUAACGGCUCACCUAGGCGACGAUACAUAGCCGACCUGAGAGGGUGAUCGGCCACACUGGGACUGAGACACGGCCCAGAAUCCUACGGGAGGCAGCAGUAGGGAAUCUUCGGCAAUGGGGGCAACACUGACCGAGCAACGCCGCGUGAGUGAAGAAGGUUUUCGGAUCGUAAAGCUCUGUUGUAAGUCAAGAACGAGUGUGAGAGUGGAAAGUUCACACUGUGACGGUAGCUUACCAGAAAGGGACGGCUAACUACGUG